CGUAGGGACCAAGCGUUGUUCGGAUUUACUGGGCGUAAAGGGCGCGUAGGCGGCGUGUUAAGUCAGCUGUGAAAUCUCCAAGCUUAACUUGGAACGGUCAGCUGAUACUGAUGUGCUAGAGUGCAGAAGGGGCAACCGGAGUUCCUGGUGUAGCGGUGAAAUGCGUAGAUAUCAAGAGGAACACCUGAGGUGAAGACGGGUUGCUGGGCUGACACUGACGCUGAGGCGCGAAAGCUAGGGGAGCAAACGGGAUUAGAUACCCCGGUAGUCCUAGUCCUAAACGAUGAAUACUUGGUGUCUGGAGUUUUUAUUCUCCGGGUGCCGUCGCUAACGUUUUAAGUAUUCCGCCUGGGGAGUACGCACGCAAGUGUG
rnacentral:rRNA from 1 species